rnacentral:rRNA from 1 species
UAGGGAAUAUUGGACAAUGGGGGCAACCCUGAUCCAGCCAUGCCGCGUGAGUGAAGAAGGCCCUCGGGUUGUAAAGCUCUUUUGUCCGGAAAGAAAAGCAUUCGGUGAAUACCCGGAUGUUCUGACGGUACCGGAAGAAUAAGCACCGGCUGACUUCGUGCCAGCAGCCGCGGUAAUACGAAGGGUGCAAGCGUUACUCGGAAUUACUGGGCGUAAAGCGUGCGUAGGUGGUUGUUUAAGUCUGAUGUGAAAGCCCUGGGCUCAACCUGGGAAUGGCAUUGGAAACUGUGCAGCUAGAGUGCGGUAGAGGGUAGUGGAAUUCCCGGUGUAGCAGUGAAAUGUGUAGAGAUCGGGAGGAACAUCUGUGGCGAAGGCGACUGCCUGGACCAGCACUGACGCUGAGGCACGAAAGCGUGGGGAGCAAACA